CAGGGGGCGGGGUUUAUUUGUGUCCGGCGAGGUCCGCCUGCCUGCAGGGGAUUGGGUGAGAGCGGGAAGGAACUGACCAAUGAACGCCGUGGGCCGGGCCGAACAAAAGGGGCGGGACAGCGGCCUGUUCAAACCGGUGGCGGCGGCCGGGCUCGAGCGCGGGGAGCGCGCCGGGCUGGUGAACCUGGUCAGUGAC
rnacentral:lncRNA from 1 species